GGAAAAGAAAGAGCAUGCUAAGCCUCAUUUACCCUCUUCAGAGUAGAAGGAACACAGACAGGCUUCGCUUUUCAUCCUGGCUUCAACUCUUACUCAGUGUAGAUACUGUGCUUUCUCCUGAACUUUGGUCAAACAAUUGUUGGUCAGGUAUUUAAGCAGAACUCAGACGGGCACCUCCACAUCCAGCCUGGGAGCUCUCAUCUGAAGCUGGGAUGUGCUUCACUGAACACAGCCUCUCUCUGCUGCUGGGCAGGUGCUGGCCUCCAAGAGGAUACAUUCCACAAGCCUUCAUGUUCUUUGGGAGUGAGAAUAAUCAGGAAAGCCUAAAAGAAGAAGGUGACAAGGUGACACACACUGGGCAUUUGCUCUGUCCGUGACUGCUCUCCACUUUUCAAAGUCAAGGGCUAUUUCAGCUUUCUACCUUCCUGCCUUUCCUGACCUUCAGACUAUACUAUCUGUGACAGCCUACAUGCUCCACUGGGUCUCAUGUCAUAAUAACAGUGUCGUAGAAGAGGUGGAGAGGUGAAAUACAAGGAAUAUGCAAUUUAACGCUUAUCUUACAUGUGAUAACUUGGCAUUGGGAAGGGCAAAAAAGGGGCUAAGCAAAUGCUAAAACAAUGAGAGAACCUGGAUCUGCAAGAGAAGAUGUUCUCCGGGAAGAAUUCAGCAAGAUCAAUGGACAUAAAUUGCUGAAAAAAAUCACACUUAUAUGGUCACUUCUUCCAUUUAUCUGGAAAAUAUCCCUGAGCAGUUUUUUUUAAUGCAAUGCACAGCAUCACAGUGAUAUGAGAGAGUGACAAUCAUGUGAUGUGGAAAGGUGGCUUACUCUACAGAAGUAUUUGUAGAAAUGUAUUCAUUCACGCUGGACAGCAGGGAUCAAAGUGUCUGCUUAUUUUGCCAGUGAACACCAGGCCCUGAGUCCAGUGUUCUGUGAAAUGCAAUGACAGGCUAGUCUGUGUUUCCAAAGACCUCCUCCCACAAUCAAAGACUCUAAGGCAUGAGUUUGCAACCAUGUGUUCACACUGAACAGAAAAUCUUUACACAGCAUGUCAACAUAGGUGGGCAUAUUUGAUUCCGACUGAUUUAGCCAUCAAGUCUGAUUAGAAUGUGACUUUCCAAACGGUGUGAGCAUAGCAGGAAGAGGUCUUGAAGUUAAAUGAGCUGGUGACAUUUUGUAAGGGCCAUGCAACCUUCAGCAAAUCCUUUAAGAUGUCUGAGUCUUAAUUUCUUGUUCUGUACAAUGAAGUUGAGAACUCGCCACAUAGAGCUGUCGUGAGAAUAAAAUUUGUUGACAUAUUUACUAUAGUGUCUUCUCAUAUUCUCAGAGGUUGGAGAUUUCCUUGCCUUUGCCCCUUGGACCUUGGAGUGCUGCAGAUCAAUAUUGAUAAACAGGAUGCCAUAAAUAAGGAGAAUAAAGUCCAAAUGCCAUGGCUUGUUUUUAAGGCCCCCUGUGCUCUGACCUCCUCCAACAGUGUUACUUCCUCUCCUCUCACUGCCAUUACCGAACUCCCAUUUCAAGUCAGCAGCUUCUCUUAAUGACAGGAGUAUGUUAUAUUCCUCAGGAGUUUAGAAAUAGAGAAGA
rnacentral:lncRNA from 1 species